AGAAAAACGCAUGUCAAAAAUAUUAUACCAAUGUAUCUUCCUCAUUGUCUGACCCAUCCCGAUGAGGACAAGGAGCCCAGUCGGGUACUGGGUACAAAUCCGGAAGGUUUCCC